rnacentral:rRNA from 1 species
CACGGAGGGGGCUAGCGUUGUUCGGAAUUACUGGGCGUAAAGCGCACGUAGGCGGCUUUGUAAGUUAGAGGUGAAAGCCCGGGGCUCAACUCCGGAAUUGCCUUUAAGACUGCAUCGCUAGAAUUGUGGAGAGGUAAGUGGAAUUCCGAGUGUAGAGGUGAAAUUCGUAGAUAUUCGGAAGAACACCAGUGGCGAAGGCGACUUACUGGACACAUAUUGACGCUGAGGUGCGAAAGCGUGGGGAGCAAACAGG